rnacentral:rRNA from 1 species
UUGGAGGGCAAGUCUGGUGCCAGCAGCCGCGGUAAUUCCAGCUCCAAUAGCGUAUAUUAAAGUUGUUGCAGUUAAAAAGCUCGUAGUUGAAUUUCGGGGUCAGUAGGUUGGUCAUGCCACUGGUAUGUACUAGUCUCACUGAUUCCUCCUUCCUGAUGAACUGUAAUGCCAUUAAUUUGGUGUUGCAGGGAAUCUGGACUGUUACUUUGAAAAAAUUAGAGUGUUUAAAGCAGGCUAACGCCUGAAUACAUUAGCAUGGAAUAAUGAAAUAGGACGUUCGAUCCUAUUUUGUUGGUCUCUAGGAUUGACGUAAUGAUUAAUAGGGAUAGUUGGGGGCAUUAGUAUUCAAUUGUCAGAGGUGAAAUUCUUGGAUUUAUUGAAGACUAACUACUGCGAAAGCAUUUGCCAAGGAUGUUUUCAUUAAUCAAGAACGAAAGUUAGGGGAUCGAAGACGAUCAGAUACCGUCGUAGUCUUAACCAUAAACUAUGCCGACUAGGGAUCGGAUGAUGUUAAUUUUUUAAUGGCUCAUUCGGCGCCUUACGGGAAAC